CCACCCUACCCUCUCGAAAUAGGCGGGCGCGAAUGCCUUCCCAACGCUGAACCUAGUUCCACCUUUCCUCGGGAUUCCUCUAAGGGCUGGUUCCGAUCGGACACUUCCGGUGGAAGGACGGCUCUGCACCGCCUCAAGGCUUCCUUCCACAGAGACUUUUGAGUCUGCGCAGAAGACGGCCUGGCUUUGGACUACAAUUCCCAGAAGCCUCUUGGCUUUCUCAGCGCUCAGACUCUGUGUCCCUGGCGUUUUCACCGCUAUCCUAAAAUUCACAGACCUUGAAGGAGGAGGAGUCUUUUCUGCACUUUGUAGUAGUCAACUUGGCUCUGCUGCGCCCGUGCGGCCUGUCCUCAACUUCAGUCUGGGGCAGUGAAAUUGAAGCCCACGCAACAGGCAUGCAGCUCAAACUUCACCGUUGCAAAGCCUUUCUGGAUUUACGGGAAGCCUUUUCCCGAACCCUUGAUUCAUCCCCCAACUCCGAUGAAAAGCAGAUAUACAAAACGGGAUUAAGCAUAACCCUGGCUCAAGACGUCUAUGCCUGGCCCUAAAAUGUGAACAUUUUUUAAAAGAUUGGUCCUGAACCAAUAUCUGUUGCCAAUCUUUUUGUUUUCUUCUUCUCCUCAAAGCCGGCCAGUACAUAGUUGUAUAUUCUAGUUGUAGGUCCUUCUAUGAGCUGCCUCAGCGUGGCUUGUUGGGCAGUGCUAGGUUGGCGCCCAGGAUCCAAACCUGGGAAAACCUUGGGCGUGAAAGUGGAGGGCAGGGACUUAAUCACUGGUCCACUGCAGGCCCCAUCGAACACUGAUUCCAUUUCCCAACCUGGAAGAACUAGAACAUUCACAAUAACUUAGAUUUAUACUCUUUCUCUCCUCACUCUCCCUACCUCCUCUCAUCUGAGGUAACCACUGUUAACAAAUUUUGUGUUUAUCUUUCCCUUUUUAAAAAGAUAUUUCUAUUAGAUACGUAUGUAUGGGCAAACCAGUGUAUGGUUUUAGUUGUUUUUGAUGUAAAAGGCAUCACGUCAUAGACUAUCUGAUAUUUGCUUCUUUUCCUUCAACAAUGUUACUAAGGUUUAUCCGUAUUGUUGAAUUAAAAUUAGUUUUCACUACUGCAUAAUAUUCCAAUUGUGCAUAUCACAUUGCAUUCAACCAUUCUCCUAAAGAUGGGCCAAUACACUGUUAUCUCUAUAGACUAUUGUCUCUCUUCUGGAUUGCUGCCAUAACCUCUUAAGUGGUCCCUCUGCUUAUAUCUUUGUGUCCCCCACAGGCUGUUCUCAAUAGAGAAGCUGGAGUGGUACUGUUGAAGCAUAAGUUCUAUCAUGCUACUGAAGGGUAGAAGAAAUUACCUCCUCAAAAUAUACUGCUUUGAUAUGUUGAUGAUUUUGAGCUGUAGGCACUUAAAAAACAACAAAUGCAGAGAGAAGCUUUCUCUGAACUCCCCUCAUCCCUGCCUACAGACAGAUCUUCCAAAAAAGAGCAAAAUUGUCAUAAAUUCCCUCUCCUUGAGUUUCAUCAACCAGUCAAGAUCGACUCUUAUCAGAGUAUAGGAGACAUUGCACCCAGGCAAAUUUUGUCAUAAACUAUCAGACCUCCCAUUUAUUCUUCUAAGGGCCCAUUCAUCUUUCCUAAAAAUCAUUUACUCUCUUGUAGGAGGCCUGCAUUCACCCUCCUCUUUCCCUGUUAAUAUUGGAAUUCUAAAGCCAUUUCUUUAGUUACUCAUUUUUUUCUGUGUGUCUCCCAUGUAUACAUAAGGUAUACAGGUUAAUGAACUUCUGUUUAUUUUUCCCUGUUAAUUUGUCUUUUAUUAUGAGGAUUUCAGCUAAGAACUCAGAAAGGUAGAGGGAAAAUUACUUUUUCACCUCCUAUACUAGCCCUUUAAAACUUAAAGCCUUUAAAGCUUAAAACCUUUUAGUAGCUCCCUAUUUUAUUCAGGGUGAAACCCAAAGUCCUUAAAAUGGCUUAUAAGACCCUAUAUGAGCUGUACCCUAUGUAUCUCUUAUUACUCUCUCCUUUGCUCAUUCUGCUUCCUCAUCCCCAAUGGGCCUCCUCCUUCUCCCUGGAGUACAAAGGCAUGUUCUUGCUUAGGUCCACAGUUCCAGCUGUUUUCUCUGUCACAAGUAUGGGCUUGGCUAAAUUCCUCACUUUCUGCAGAUCUUUACUCAAGUCAUACCUCCUCAAUGAGACGUAUCUUGCCCCCUCACAUCCGUCUUCCCUGUUCUACUUUUUCAUGCUAUGUAAUUUAUUUUAUUUAUUAUGUCGAUUGCCUCAUAUGCUAGAAUGUACAAUAUUUGAAGUAAUGGUUCUUUUCUGUGUUGAUAACUACCAUAUCCAAACACCUAUAAUAAGGCCUGUCAUGAAAUAUACUCUCAAUAAAUAUUUGUCAAAUGAA